rnacentral:rRNA from 1 species
GACAGAGGGUGCAAACGUUGUUCGGAAUUACUGGGCGUAAAGCGCGUGUAGGCGGCUAUGCAAGUCGGAUGUGAAAGCCCUCGGCUCAACCGGGGAAGUGCACCCGAAACUGCAAAGCUAGAGUCUCGGAGAGGAUCGUGGAAUUCUCGGUGUAGAGGUGAAAUUCGUAGAUAUCGGGAGGAACACCAGUGGCGAAGGCGGCGACCUGGGCCAAUAUUGACGCUGAGGUGCGAAAGCGUGGGGAGCAAACAGG